rnacentral:rRNA from 1 species
AGAGUUUGAUCCUGGCUCAGAGCGAACGCUGGCGGCAGGCUUAACACAUGCAAGUCGAGCGGGCGUAGCAAUACGUCAGCGGCAGACGGGUGAGUAACGCGUGGGAACGUACCUUUUGGUUCGGAACAACACAGGGAAACUUGUGCUAAUACCGGAUAAGCCCUUACGGGGAAAGAUUUAUCGCCGAAAGAUCGGCCCGCGUCUGAUUAGCUAGUUGGUAGGGUAACGGCCUACCAAGGCGACGAUCAGUAGCUGGUCUGAGAGGAUGAUCAGCCACAUUGGGACUGAGACACGGCCCAAACUCCUACGGGAGGCAGCAGUGGGGAAUAUUGGACAAUGGGCGCAAGCCUGAUCCAGCCAUGCCGCGUGAGUGAUGAAGGCCCUAGGGUUGUAAAGCUCUUUUGUGCGGGAAGAUAAUGACGGUACCGCAAGAAUAAGCCCCGGCUAACUUCGUGCCAGCAGCCGCGGUAAUACGAAGGGGGCUAGCGUUGCUCGGAAUCACUGGGCGUAAAGGGUGCGUAGGCGGGUCUUUAAGUCAGGGGUGAAAUCCUGGAGCUCAACUCCAGAACUGCCUUUGAUACUGAAGAUCUUGAGUUCGGGAGAGGUGAGUGGAACUGCGAGUGUAGAGGUGAAAUUCGUAGAUAUUCGCAAGAACACCAGUGGCGAAGGCGGCUCACUGGCCCGAUACUGACGCUGAGGCACGAAAGCGUGGGGAGCAAACAGGAUUAGAUACCCUGGUAGUCC